rnacentral:lncRNA from 1 species
GAGAAACCAUACCCCAGCUAUGUAGAGUAAGUUGCCUAUUCUCCCUAUUUGCAGUUAAAGUAGUCAGAAGCACCGGCUGCAGUCUAUGAGGUACCAGUGAAAAGCCCUAGUUUCCAGUUCAAGGUUUCGGUCUUAUCGUACAGUAGUGAAGAAUGAUAUAAAGGGAAGGGCAGACUAAAGUGACCAAUAAAGUAAAUAGAACCAAACUAAGUAGUAGAGGUACGAUCUAGUGAUUAAGGUAUUGCACUCAUAGGUAUGGUCCAGCACACACAGAUUAAUCAAAAGUAGUAUAGCAUGGAAUCCAAGGAGUGUUAGUAGCCAAAAGUCUUCAAAGUGGAAUAUAUUCUAAUUAAUGUCGAGCAAUCAGAAUCAAAUAAGUAAGUCGUAGGUUGAAACCGAUGUUAACAAGACCUUGACCUUCACCUAGGAACCCGGGAUGGUUAUAUUAAGAAUAAGAGAUAGGCAAGGCAGCUUAGGUAGCAAGAAAGCAAGUAUAUAGUUUCAGAACGAAGGCAAGGCAGCUUAGGUAGCAAGAAAGCAAGUAUAUAGUUUCAGAACGAAGGCAAGGGGAGGUAGUUUGGGAGCCAGGAGAGAGGUAGUAUAGUGAAAGCUUGUGUUUCGAGUUGAGUUCACUGAGUUCCCAAACAGUAUAGUUUGGCCUGUUAGGCAUUGGGUUGAUUCUUGUCAACAGUAGUUCUUUCUUAUAUCUACUGCUCGGUGGCUUGGAGCUAUGCUUGGUAUCCAGUAUUCUGUAUGGAAUUCCUUUUACACUGGACCUUUUGGAAUUCUGAUAGUGGAUAGCUUUCUUCUUUUCUUGUUCUCCGGGGCGCCUAGAGUUAAUCUGCCUAGUAGUGAUUCCUUAUAUAGUAGUAUUGUAUUGGCUUCCGUUCAUGGUAGCUAUAAGCCUGAGUGCGUGUCCGCUCUAGGUUAGGUGUGUUUGUGUCUCCCUUGGUUAUGUGUAUGGUGUGUUUGUGUCUCGGGUUUGUUGGUUUUGUUUCAUAUGUGCCUAAUGGUCGAUGUAGUGUUACCGCUACGUGGAUGUCUGUAGUAACAUAGUCAUUGGUUGCAUAAGUAACAGCGGAGUUGUAAUUAAUAGAACACUUUUACUUGGUUCUAAAGCGUAGUAAUGGAAUUGGCAUUGUAUAAAGUCAGCUGCCCGCUACCUAAACUCAAAAGAGAGAAUAGAGCAGUGCCUUAACAGACAGACUAUAUCUUUUGGCGGUUCUCUGUAAUCCAACUAAUCACUACCAUAGUGGAGCUGGCGCUUCUCGUUCUUUAUCUAGUGAUAUGGAGCCCGCCUUUACUCUUUUUGUUUCCAAAGCUCAGUAAUAGCAUAAUGAAUUAAUAUAUCAUCAAAAUAGAAUAAUAAGUGCCAAGCAACGACUAUGGACGAUCCGCAGUCCAGCGCUCUCAACCAGUAACAAAUGGCAAAGAACUCAGUCUAAACCCAGUAGUCAAAAACCUUACCUUUACUACUCAACACCUUACUUG